UGUUUAAAUACACUGCUAUAAGAAAUAGUUCUAAAAAGAAAGCCGUUCGACUGAUUUUAUUUUUAUUAUUAUAUCUUGAUAUCGGUAUGCAAGAAAAAGAUUCUGUCACUGGUUAUAGGUGCAGAUGGGAAAAUCCGGCUCUCGGGUAACUGUUUAAGCGGUAACUCGGUAGGAACCUCGUUACCGCCUAAACAGUUACCCUCGAGGCCGGAAAUUCCCAUCUGCACAUAUAACCAGUGAAAGAAUCUUAUAUUGUUUCACUGCAACUAGAUACCACAACAAAUCAUUCUCAGAUCUUGAAAUAGAGUCGAUGCAGAAUUAACGCAUUGUUUCAUAGAUAGUGAAUCGAUCAGAAUAGACAGAAUAGAUCAUUGUCAUAGAAAAAAACGUUGAUGUACUUUUUCCAUUCGAAUUGACAUAAUUUGAACAUAGACUCUGCAUUUAUGCCAUAAAAUAUGUCUGAUUGGACGUGCUGAAUCAUCCGGCAAAAACCAUCAAUAUUUCUAAAGUAACAUUAAUUAGAAUCAAGGUCUACUGUGCUGUGCAUUUAAUCCGUCAUGUGUUUGUUUCAGAUGAAUGAAUACCUGCACCAUGAAAACAAUGUCAUUUGCAAAAUUUUUUAACCUGUGCUGGGCGUUCACAUUGACAUUUCUUGUUCAACAGGAAUACACGAUGUCGACCAACAGUACAGCUAGAUGAAGAUAUAAAUUUAUUAAAAAAAAAUAAUGGGACAAUUAAUGCUAAAAUUGCCAAGAAGAAGACUGCCAAUUUACACACCAUUUUAUACAGUUACAGUAUGAUAUGGUGAACAAAAAGCCCUCAAUGCAGCCAGUUCUGGAGAUUUGGUUAACCCUAUGAAUAGUAGACAGGUACAAAAAAGAUGAUCAUCUGAAGGGCCACAAUUGUUUAAAGCACUGGUCAACAAACACUGAACUAUUUGAUGGAUCAUACAUGUGCAGAAUGUACUACCAUAUUUCCAGAAUCAGAGAAAUAGAAAUACCAAGUAUUAGAGAGAAAGAAAAGUAUGCAUCAUGUAUAAAGAACUGCCUAAGAAUAAUUUGCAAAAUACAGUGAAAUCUAACAAUUGCUAAUUGCAUAAUGCAUAUGGAAGUUAAGAUAGGUGUACUCUUCUGGAAAAUAUGUGUCCAGUGCAACAUUUCUUUUUCAAUUUUGUGAGCAUAAUUCUACAUAAAAAUUGUAACAUGGCUACAGGAUAAUACAAAAGGUUUAAUCUUAUUUCCAAACACA